GGCAGGAUGGCCGAGUUGGUUAUGGCGCCAGGUUAAGGCUACCUUAAUAUCGAUUAGCUUCGAAAUCCUGGUUCGGGAAACUGAGCGUGGGUUCAAGUCCCACUCCUGUCA